AGCGCCUGCGGCAGAUGCAGCCGGAUUCAUUUUUGAUGGCCUUGCAGGCGGCCGGAUCCGGUACCAUCCCGUAUCCUAAGCACAGCUUAGUUCAAAGCA
rnacentral:sRNA from 1 species